ACGCUGGCGGCGUGCCUAAUACAUGCAAGUAGAACGCUGAAGAGAGGAGCUUGCUCUUCUUGGAUGAGUUGCGAACGGGUGAGUAACGCGUAGGUAACCUGCCUUGUAGCGGGGGAUAACUAUUGGAAACGAUAGCUAAUACCGCAUAACAAUGGAUGACCCAUGUCAUUUAUUUGAAAGGGGCAAAUGCUCCACUACAAGAUGGACCUGCGUUGUAUUAGCUAGUAGGUGAGGUAACGGCUCACCUAGGCGACGAUACAUAGCCGACCUGAGAGGGUGAUCGGCCACACUGGGACUGAGACACGGCCCAGACUCCUACGGGAGGCAGCAGUAGGGAAUCUUCGGCAAUGGGGGCAACCCUGACCGAGCAACGCCGCGUGAGUGAAGAAGGUUUUCGGAUCGUAAAGCUCUGUUGUAAGUCAAGAACGAGUGUGAGAGUGGAAAGUUCACACUGUGACGGUAGCUUACCAGAAAGGGACGGCUAACUACGUGCCAGCAGCCGCGGUAAUACGUAGGUCCCGAGCGUUGUCCGGAUUUAUUGGGCGUAAAGCGAGCGCAGGCGGUUUGAUAAGUCUGAAGUUAAAGGCUGUGGCUCAACCAUAGUUCGCUUUGGAAACUGUCAGACUUGAGUGCAGAAGGGGAGAGUGGAAUUCCAUGUGUAGCGGUGAAAUGCGUAGAUAUAUGGAGGAACACCGGUGGCGAAAGCGGCUCUCUGGUCUGUAACUGACGCUGAGGCUCGAAAGCGUGGGGAGCGAACAGGAUUAGAUACCCUGGUAGUCCACGCCGUAAACGAUGAGUGCUAGGUGUUGGAUCCUUUCCGGGAUUCAGUGCCGCAGCUAACGCAUUAAGCACUCCGCCUGGGGAGUACGACCGCAAGGUUGAAACUCAAAGGAAUUGACGGGGGCCCGCA
rnacentral:rRNA from 1 species